rnacentral:lncRNA from 13 species
AGAAUCUCUACUGUACAGAGCCAGAGAGAGGUAGAGAGCCAGACAGACAGACAGACAGAAUAUGGGGUGUUUGUUUGAUGUGGUGUGUGGUUAGUUACUCUGGCAGGCUUGAGGAAGUGGGGCCUCUGUCACCCAGGCUCUGGUCUCCACGUCACACAGUAACUGCAUGUUUACAGGAAGUGUGCUUUCGUAACCCAGGUGACAGAUGAGGUCACAGUUCUGCUGGCCACCAGUCACGUCAGAGCGACAGACCACAUCACCGUAGGUAACAGUGAUGUCAGAGAACGGAGAGGGACACUGGGGACCUGGAGACAGAGAGAAUACAGGACAUAUAUACCAGACUUACUGUCACAGGCUGGGGUCUUCCCGGUGGCGCGUGGCGUCCUGGUUCCAGGCAGCUCCUGUCCAUCUGUCUGAGACACACACCAGCAGUCUGUCUGGUCACACUGCAGUGGGGAGAACAGCCUUCCAUCCACCUGACACUCCGGCUCAUAACCCACCACAGACUGACCUCUGUCUGUCAACAACUGACACCAGCUAGGACCUAGAGAGACACGUGGAGGACAGAGGAGGAGAUGGUUUAAAGAUUUCAUCCUGUUAUACAUGUUCAACCUUUUGAUUUAGCAAACUGCAAACGGAAAACAAGAUGUGAAGUAGUGGAGUUCUUCAGAUGGACUUGAUAUAAAAUGAAAUGAUAUUUCUUGAAAAGGGAAGUAUAUGAACAUGUCUGUCCCAAAAUGGUUGGACCACUAAGUGAUUGAUUGUUAUAAGUGAUGGAUUGUUAUUUGUGAUUGAUUGUUAAAUGUGAUUGAUUGUAAAAUGUGAUUGAUUGUUAAAAGUGAUUGAUUGUUAUUUGUGAUUGAUUGUUAAAUGUGAUUGAUUGAAAAUGUGAUUGAUUGUUAAAAGUGAUUGAUUGUUAUAUGUGAUUGAUUAUUAUUAAAAGUGAUUGAUUGUUAUUAAAAGUGAUUGAUUGUAAUAAGUGAUUGAUUGUUAAAUGUGAUUGAUUGUUAAAAGUGAUUGAUUGUAAUAAGUGAUUGAUUGUUAUUAAAAGUGAUUGAUUAUUAAAAGUGAUUGAUUGUAAUAAGUGAUUGAUUGUUAAAUGUGAUUGAUUGUUAAAAGUGAUUGAUUGUAAUAAGUGAUUGAAUGUUAUAUGUGCAGUGUGUUAAACAUGUCAGUACAUGUGAGGUCUCCACUGGGACUCAGGGUAGCAGGCUGGAUGGUUUCCCCAGAAACAGGACUGACACACCAGGCUACACCUCCACCUGAAGACCCCUUCUGGAGCACAGAGAACUGGCCACUCUGGAAACACACAGACAGCACCACAACCACUGUUAUCAAGGACACAUACUGUACAUACAGGACAAUAGAAGAAGACUUUAUUGUCCAAUAGAAACUAGUGUCGUGCUUUAUACCAACCCCUCUGAGAGACACAGACAGAAGUUACAACAAGGAGGAGACAGACAGAAGUUACAACAAGGAGACAGACAGAAGUUACAACAAGGAGACAGACAGNNNNNNNNNNUUGAAAAGGGAAGUAUAUGAACAUGUCUGUCCCAAAAUGGUUGGACCACUAAGUGAUUGAUUGUUAUAAGUGAUGGAUUGUUAUUUGUGAUUGAUUGUUAAAUGUGAUUGAUUGUAAAAUGUGAUUGAUUGUUAAAAGUGAUUGAUUGUUAUUUGUGAUUGAUUGUUAAAUGUGAUUGAUUGAAAAUGUGAUUGAUUGUUAAAAGUGAUU